AGUGAACGCUGGCGGUAGGCCUAACACAUGCAAGUCGAACGGCAGCACAGUAAGAGCUUGCUCUUACGGGUGGCGAGUGGCGGACGGGUGAGGAAUACAUCGGAAUCUACUUUUUCGUGGGGGAUAACGUAGGGAAACUUACGCUAAUACCGCAUACGACCUACGGGUGAAAGCAGGGGAUCUUCGGACCUUGCGCGAUUGAAUGAGCCGAUGUCGGAUUAGGUAGUUGGCUGGGUAAAGGCCCACCAAGGGAAGGAUACGCAGCCGGUCUGGGAGGAUGGUCGCCCCCCCGGGGACGUGACCCGCGUCCAAGCCACCGAGGGAGGGACCAGGGGGGAACGUUGGGCAAUGGGGGGAAACCUUGCCCAAGCCACCCGCGUUGGGUGAAGAAGCCCUGCGGUUUGUAAACCCUUUUUUUGGGGAAAAACAGACGUCGGAUUAACCCCCCCGUUUUUGACGGUACCCAAUAAAAAAGCCCCGGCUAACUACGUG
rnacentral:rRNA from 1 species